rnacentral:rRNA from 1 species
CACGUAGGGCGCAAGCGUUGUCCGGAAUUAUUGGGCGUAAAGAGCUCGUAGGCGGUCUGUUGCGUCCGCUGUGAAAACUCGGGGCUUAACCCCGAGCCUGCAGUGGAUACGGGCAGACUAGAGUGCAGUAGGGGAGACUGGAAUUCCUGGUGUAGCGGUGAAAUGCGCAGAUAUCAGGAGGAACACCGAUGGCGAAGGCAGGUCUCUGGGCUGUAACUGACGCUGAGGAGCGAAAGCAUGGGGAGCGAACAGG